GACACUAAAAAAAGUUCUAUGGCUGGGAGUGGGAGGAAAAUCUGCUUACAGCGCUGUUGCUUUUUAAAAGAUAAAUACGGAACAUUACAAUGACAUCCACAACACCUGAAGAAUAAAGGAAAAAGGUUUGGACUAGAGAGGGAUCCUGACCGAAAGAUUCUGCCAGUAAAACUGCUAAAACGUGUGGUAUCAGCUGUGACUGGAAAUAGCCGGGCCAACAUAAUGUGAGAGGCUGUUCUUGUGAUAUUUCCACUUCAGUCAGAAGAAGGAAGACCUAAAAAUCUAAUAAGACGACCUAUUCUUAUUCCAGGAAAGCUUUGUAAGAAAUCAAGAAGUAUGAAUAAGCAACCAAAAAUCUGAGGAAUAUGUGAAAUGAAAUCCUUCACACUUAACUUGAUUAUGGGAAUUUCUGAACUGUCUACCUCCUGGACAAGCAGAAGCAGG